rnacentral:rRNA from 1 species
UACGUAGGGACCAAGCGUUGUUCGGAUUUACUGGGCGUAAAGGGCGCGUAGGCGGCCAGUGCAAGUCAGUUGUGAAAUCUCCGAGCUUAACUCGGAAAGGUCAACUGAUACUGCUCGGCUAGAGUGCGGAAGGGGCAACUGGAAUUCUUGGUGUAGCGGUGAAAUGCGUAGAUAUCAAGAGGAACACCUGCGGCGAAGGCGGGUUGCUGGGCCGACACUGACGCUGAAGUGCGAAAGCGAGGGGAGCGAACGGG